rnacentral:sRNA from 1 species
GCAGGACCUAGGGAAAUGUUAAAGAUUGUGAUCUAAGAGGACUCCUUUUUGUUAAUAUAACAAACUAACAUUCAUUUCAUGUGAAUGAACAAACAGUAUUUUCAUUGUUUUUUGAACAUUAUUUUAGUGUUGUACUUUUUCUGCUGUGUCAAUGAGUGUUAAAAUAAUUGUUCCUUUAAUAUAUAGAGCUUAGAGCUUUAUUACUGAUUUUCAGAUGGUGGCUGGGGGCAAAAAACCAGAGAUGAUCCAGCUGAGAAAUCUCACUAGUAAUGAAAAGCAAGCAUCUUUAACACAGUCAGUUUUCCUGACAGUUUUCCCCACUCAAGUAUACAAUGAUUUAUUUAUCCUACAAAUGCUGAGGGCAGGGCAUAGAAAACUAAAAAGGACAAAACUAAAAUCUUUAUUUUCUUAAAAAUGAAACAGAAAGUCAGUAAAAAGAAUGCAAAAACUCCAAGAUGAAGCUCUAAAACCUGUCUUUUAGCAGCAACAGAGACACACUAGUAGUUUUUCUAGUUAGCCUUUCUGCACUGUCACACACUUAACUGCUUGCUGUUCUAUUUAUCUCAGUUAUCAAAGGUGAAAUGCCCGUGAGCAGGUAUUGGAAGUAUUUCUUGUCAUUUUUCUCUUCCCCGAUGCUAAUUAUCUUGUCAUUUGGUACUAACUGAAAAGACAAAAUGCCCAUUCUUUCUUUCCCAGAGGAAGGCUCUGGCUGAUGGGUUACUCACGAUGAAACUGCGGGCUGUACGCAGGCUGUGGUUGGGAUAGCACAGCUCAGAGCUGGCUGCCAGGCAGGCUAGUGAAGGCCACGCUCAUAUAUCGAGCAGCCAGACCAGCCUUUCAAGUCAAGUGUUGGCUUGUAGACACAUCAGUUAAUCAGCUAUGAAAUCACCACCACAAUGUACUUAUUGAUCACACAGGGCUAAUGACGCAACUCUUGGCCUGGAGAGGAUGUGUGCUUCAUUCUCUCAGCUUCCAACCUUCAGAGAAAGAGCACUUUGAGUAGUGUUUAUGAAAGGCAGAUACUAACUGUGAUCUGAACCUUCCUGGGGAGCUGGGCCACAGACAGCCUUCCCGUGCGGCCCAUUCACACUCACUGCUCUCAAAGAACUAGAUGGUAUUUGCACUACACUGCAUCUUGGAGGAAAGUUUUCAGAAGGCCUCCAACUGUCAGGAUUCAAACUAAAUUUUAGUUCAAUUUCUCUAGAUUUUAGUAUUUCUUUGAAAUCUUAGGGAAUGCUGAUCAUUUUAUGAAUGAAUGUUAUCAUAGAGAAUCAAGAAAGUUAAAAAUCAGUAUUUUUUAAGGCAGGCAAUUUUGAAGUAGGUGUCUACUUGCCUCUGGACCAUUGCCACACUUUUACUGCUCCUUCGAGUGAAGCAGCAGAUACGCAUGGUAAUCACACUGCAUACACUACUGUUUCCAUAAACUUCCUUCUGAUGCUGGAGAGGAAAAACAAAAGGUAGGUGAGAGUAACAAAAGGCUGCCAGGCCUGCUCUGAGGGUCUCCAAGGUAGGCCACGGGACUGUCAGAGCACAAGCCUGGUUGCCUUUCCAACUGACUGGCUCCAAUAUUCUGUCCCCUAGAAUGGAUCUGCUAAGCUGGAGUAACAAAGAAUGAAUUUGAUUCUGAGUGCAGUAAGAGGAUUGCACAUAAGCCAGUGAAUUAAGUCUUAAAUAUAACAACUUCCAGUAAAUCGAUUCUUCAAAGACACGGACAUAGAGCCCCAGAGUCUCCCUGAGAGUAAGAAAUCUGACUGUCUAGUGAGAAACGCUCCCUUCAGGGUAGUCCCCUUGCUCUCAGGCUGGGUUGCAGACUGUGCACAGACAGUGUGAGAACAAGCAAAUUCAACUGAGUGACAGCACCACAAUUGUUCCUUCCUUUCUAUUUUCUUUCACAUAGGUUGUCCUGUGUGUAACGAGCUCCAGGAGAAACAGAAAUUAAAAAAAAAGAAGUAGAAGAAUGAAUUGUAUUCCUACUAGUAUAAUGGACUGCGUGUUUGCUUAGGGGUAUACAAUGUGGGUGACAAGACAUCCCAGUUGGCACCAUGGUAGCUCCAAGAUCUGCAAGGCAGUGGGAACCAGUUUUGCCUUCAGGACACAUUACUGUCUCCCACUCAGUUUUAGUUUGGAACUUUGCUAGAACUAUCAUGGAAAGGGGCAGAGACUGACCAUUUGCUUCGAAAUAUACACAUUGCCCAUUGCUGCACGGCUUAGAGAGAGGCACACUAGGAGCUGACGGCGACACCUGCUGGUGCUGCCCCUGCAACCCUCUGCCAAUUGGAGGCUCUUAAGAGCCAACAAGAAAGGACAGGUACUCUAGUCCUAAGGAUUCCCUCGCUCUACUUGGAGCAUAGCUGCUCGGACUGGAGUUUAAGAGGUAAGAAAAUGUGUUGAUUUGUUUGAGAUAAUCUGGAUCUCAGCAAUAAAAGCAGUGUAGGCUGCUUAGGAAGCUUUUCUGUAAUCACGAAUGUACUUUUGUACCAGAUAGAAGGUACUCUUUACACCUGUAAAAAGUCUUGGGCGAGGAAAUGUGAAAACAUGAACUCAAAACAAACUGUGGGUCUGGGGAGAUGGCUUAUUUGGUAAAGUACUUGCCAUGCAGGCAUAAGUACCUGAGCCCUUUUUCUGGCACCAACAUGAAAAGCUAGGAAUGGUGGCAUGUGCUUGUAAUACAAAUGCUAGGGGUGGGAGCAGGAAACUUCGGGAUCCCCAAGGCUCACUGGUAGCUAACUAGUGAGCUCUGGGUUCAGAGAGAGACUGCCUCAGAAAGACAGUCCCUGUGCAAAGCCACCCAAUGUUGAUCUCUGUACUUAACAACCCUCAGGGGGGAAGAAGAACCUAAAACUUGUAGAAGAGGUGUGAGCUGAGAUGUGUUCAUUUAUUCAAAUGCAGUACUUUUAUAGGGAAAUGGAUGGACACGAAGGACACUCUCCUCAUUGUUGUAGGAAGAACUCAGCUACACUUGUCCUCAGGUGGGCUGGUUUGCUUUAUACUAGUUCUUUCACUUCAACUCUGAUUUUCUUACAGGUUAGAGGGUUUUAGCUAUCCCAUCCAAUAAUACAUGUAGAGCACUUUGUGAUCUGCCACAUGUUAUUGCUAUUAUAAAUGAUAAUAUUAUUGGAGAGAAUUCCUGGGUUAUUAUCUGAGAGAUCAGUAUUCCAUAAUGAUCCUCAAGAUAUGAUGUGAUAAUUCCCUGGGAUAUUAUCAAAUCAAACAUAGAAACACAGUACUUUUCAGAGUGCUAAUUCUUUUAAAAUGCAUUUUAGAACAGAAUCUGGACCUUCAACAUCUCAUCCUUAGGAAUUUCUGACUCCUUGCUCCAAAUGGGUAAGAUAGCAGCAAAAGACGGAGAUAGAAUGUGCCUCAGCUGGACCUCCCUUGAAUUCUUCUCUGAGCUGCCACUUCUCCAUAGUCCCCGGACUGACCUCUGAGUCAAGCCAGAUGGGACUGAGAGAGACGUCAAAGUGCCAAAACAGUACUGCAUUCCUUAAAGAGGGAAUAAAGGAUCGAGUUAGACUGGCCUUCUCAACACCUCCUGAAAGGCCCCCUUGGGUCUCAUUUUGCUGGGAUGACUAUUUAUAUGACAGGUAAGGGAAUAAUUUUGCGGGAUUCUGUUACACUAGGGCCUCUGUGACCCCUGGGUCAAAAGAGCAAAUGCAAAAGUGACAAUGUGGGUAAUUGCCUGUUUAGGAUAAUGGAAUACUGAUUGAAGUCAAUUAUUAUAACACCUGAAAGAUAAAUGAGCUGAUGUGAAAGGUUCAGGGGAGAUGGCUGUGGAGUGAACCAGCAGGCAGCACACAGAGGGUGGCGAACAACUGUGGAAUGCAGAGGGGGCAGGCUUCCUGACCUAGAGCUCACUCCAGCCUGGAGCAGGCCGAGAUCUAACGCAGGUUAGUUUGUAAAACAUGCCGUAAAACAGAAAUUCAGCCCAAUGCCCCAAACUGCAGGAUUAGAGUAACAUUAGUUAAUGUGGCCCUCCAUUAAUUUUCACCAUAACCUCUGAAGGCCUAGACUUGCCCCAAAUCCAUUAGUUUUGUCUGUCACUGGAGGGAACUUUCCCUUCCUGACAGCCAGGAAAAAGCCUGCUGAAGUAGGCAGCCCAGACCAUUGUCAGCCUAGGUUCUACCAGUUCCACACUUGGAACUCCGCUAUUUGAGUUUUCUUUUCUUUCUUUUUCCCCCUUCAUGGCAGAAAAAAGUCUCAAAUGUUUUCCCAACCUCAGCACCCCUGUUACCCUCCCAGUUUUGGUUUCUUAUUGCCAGAGCCUGGCCCUUCAAAGGCCUGCAGUCACCUCAGGGAACUGGCACUGCCUCCCUGGCCUGGUGAGGUAGGGGAGUGAGGAGCGGUGCUCACAGGAUCUCAGAGUCUGUUUCCAAAUGAGAGCAGAGGUGGUCACUGCUGUCUACCCUACAACCGGGUCGCAGGACAGCCUUUCUAACAGCUCAUGCCACAGGUUUUCUAUUUAGAAUCCAAAAUGCUCUUUGCUGGGAAAGUUCAGAGACAAGUGUCUAAGCACUAGAAGUUUUCUCUGAGGCCUAAGCCUUUUAACCAAUCCUGUUGACACCGAAUGCUGAUAAGGACAACCAGCCUGCUUAUGGAGUGCAAGUGUCCUUGUGGCUGCCAGAUGACCUCCUUCAGGCUAGAGUUCACUCUGGGAGUUAAAAGCCUGGGAUUUAGCUUAGCCUCUUUUUCUAGUUUCUCUUCUAAACUGACCACAGAUAAAGGUAGCUUUUAGUUAACUGGAACUGUGUGUGACUUGAAACAUUUCUAGAAAUGAAGACUUUGGUCUUGACUGAGUCUUCAGUUUCCCAGGAGAGAUGAUGUAGCUGACUUCCGCUGACACUCUCAUCUUAUGCACACAUCUGUGUGAAAAGGAAUGUCUCUGACAGGAAAUGCCCAGAAAAUGUUCUUUUGUUGUCUGCUCUCAGAAGAACCGUAUCUAUGGAGGGGCUGAGGAAAUUCACAAAUCUUCCUCUAAAAGACAUAUAAUAAAAACACUAGUCAAAUUAAAUUUUUUUUUAAUUUGUAAAGGGUUACAAAUUUAAUUAAAUUCUCAUUGCUUGAAACUACAGAGGAGUCAGAACUGGAUCAUUAACAGACACAUCAGCUGGGUACCAAAGUUGCUGAAAAGGAACUAAACAAACAAGCAAAAGAAGGAAAAGAGGUAACCAAUGACAAGCACAUGGUUUCCCAGCUAGGGUUUGGGAUUAGGAGUGGGUCUCCUACAGAGCAUUCUCUAGCCCUGCCAAGCGCUCUAGUCUCAAGUCCUUCCGGAGGUCCCUUGUGCUGACUCUGGUUCUGGGUCAAGUGACAAAGCUCAGUGUGUGCUCAGUUGCAGCUGAUAAACCCUCCUAGUUGUUUUUCCUCUGUAGACUGGGUUCCUGGUGCUGUGUUACUGAGGCCUUGGAAGAGCUGCCCUGUUUUGCAGUAUGGGCUGAUUUUGUUCUACCUCCCACCUUUCCCCUAGAGGUACUGCCCAAUGGGUCCAGCGCUGUGCCUAGAGGCCAACUCUAGGACAGGCUCCCUCUACUGUUUCAGGUCAACUUUUAUCCUGGGAUAAUGUCCCCUGGUCCCCUCAUGUAAAUCACUUGGUGGCUCUUCCACAAGGAUCUCAGCCUACUGAAUUGUCAAGGAAUAACAUCCUGCUGUGAUCCUUCUCAGGAAUGAACCCUGCUGGUUAGAGCUUCCUUUCCUUUCAACUUAGUACUCAAGAUGAGUCACCAGAUUCAAAUAUUCUUAAUGGUCCUGGGGCCUUUUUACAAUUUUAGGUUGUAGGAAUAAUAAUUUAAGAGGGGUACAAUCCUUUCAAGCUAAUUUCCCCCCUCAAAAGUUGAUUUUCAGAGAAUCCCAGCUGUCCUGAAAUACUGAUGAGCGCAGUGUAAUAGGCUAACUUCAAACAGGAAUCCCAGUCCCUGGGCCUAGCUGCCAAGUUCAACAGACUGCACAGCAACGGGGCUGUUGUGCUUGGAUCAAGAGGAUCUGAGUCUUGAGGCAGCCUUGAAACACCAUGGAUUUUAUUAUGAGUAAAAUUAAUUCAAUGGAAUUCUAUUGAAACUUCAAGGGUCGGGAGAGAACUCAGUCUCUUUAGUCCGCACACAGGAUUUGACCUGAUUCUCUCAUUAACUUCCUCAACUCCAAUAUAGCCCCAAAGACUUAUUUAUUAUUAUUAAAGCAAGACAAGAAAAUAAAGCACUGGCCAGCUCCACACCUAACCUAGGUGAAUACUGAGAAACAUUUUCCCUAGUUCUUAGUAAAAGUCAAACUUUGAGAACAUUAAUUUUUUUUCCUUUAUAGCAAACUUAUUUACUAUCUCAUCAGAGGUCACCAAAAGCCCAGAACCUUAAUCUCCUAAUAGUUUCUUUUAAGUUCCUGACUUUUAUUGGUCCUAACAAUUAUUCUAAAUUUAGUUUUUUAUUGGCUAGGACCAAUAAAAAUCCACAUUUAGAGUAAAUGGGACCACAUCAAACACUAUUUUUGCAUCACCCACAGGGGGAUGAAAGGUCUUCACCAGGAGACUCUGGACAGAAAUGCUUCAAGGUUUCAUGUCUGAAUCUUAGAGCUUGCUCAGUCUAAAUCUUGGCAAAAGCACAUAUCAGAAAUUAUUAGGAAGGGAUAAAAAGGCUAGACGACAACUUAGAUCAUACGAAAACGAAUGCUUACGGAACACUUUCACUAAAUUCCUACAGUGUGGCUGGUGCACCCCACCCACAAGAUAUUUUACUGUCUUCAGUGCAAGCCUUUGAGAGGUAUUAUUACAUCCCUCAGAAAGAACAAAAUGGAAGUGACUGGGAAGCUGAAUUUUAAACAGCUUACAAGAGGACUUGCCUUUUCUGUGUGAGGUCUUCCUCCUGAGUAUGCACGGGGCUGGAAAUGCUGAUGUUUGGGUUGACUAUACACCUAGGCAAACCUCAGAGCCUGCACACUCCCUGAGGAUGAUGAAAUGCUUUGUCUCCCUAAUGCUCAACUCAAUGAAUACCAGAUGAACACUAAGUCAGGAAGUCAAAGACGCCAAAGGAGGGAUGGUGCUCUUGCUUCUUAGACUAUAAAAUGUGAAUAAAAUAAUAAAGUGCAUUUUGCACUUACUCACCAUGUCUUGGGAAGAGCUGUUUUACAACGAAAAUGACCAUGCUACUGAACUAGAUUGGAAGCUGAAGAGUCAGCUCAUGGAUAAGAGCACUGACUGCUCUUCCAGAGGACUCAAAGGUGAUUCUCCGAAGGCACAUGGCAGCUGUUAAACAUCUGGAGCUCCACUUCCAGGGUAUUCAAGGCCCUUUUCGCCUCCAUGGGCUAUAGGCUUACAAUGGGGCACAAACACACAUGCAGGCAAAACAUUCAUAAACAUAAGAUAAAAACAAAUCUUUUUAAAAAGUAGGUAAUUUGCAAAGAGCACAAGUAGAGAGAUUUUGAAAACAUUGGUACAGGCUAUCUGACAAUGCAAUUUACUUCAACCUACGGACGAGCUCAGAUUCAUACCUCAAAGGGUCACGGGCUGUCUGGUGAUUUGUGAGAUAGGCUGGGUUGUUAGGAUUUGGAAACCUUUAAUCUACACACUUGGGAGGCAGAAGCAGGUGGAUUUCUGAGUUUUCUGUGGCUAGCCUAGUCCAUAGAGUGAGUUACAAGAUAGCCUGAGUUACAUAGAAAACCCAGUCUUAAAAACAAAAAUAAAAACAAAACCCAACAAUAAAACAAGCAAAUAAAACAAGAACAAGAAAACAAAAUCAAAAUCCAAACAAUGACAAGAUAAAUCUGUUGUACUAAAAGGCAGAUUUUUCUUCUUUUUUCUUUCUCUUUUGGUUUUGGUGGUGCUAGGGAUCAAACACAGGUUCUCACUCCUGAAAGGCAAGAGCCUCAUUACCAGCCCCUAAAAUGUAUACUUUGUAUGUUAUUGGUGGGCUAAACAAAACAUCUGUAAAUGUUCCCAAUCCCUCUCUCGCCGUGAUGGCCAGGAUGCUGCAUGCCUUCCUGCUCCCAGGUGUAUCAGGUGUUGAGAGCAGAGCAGAGCAGAGCAGAGACCUGUGUCAGAACAGACAAAAGGCCUGCAGAUCUGCCUGAGGUCAGAGGCAAGUCUAGGGCAGAGAAGGCUUAAAAUCAUUAAACUAUGAGAGGCUUCUCAGGAGGUAGAGUGCUGAAGAGGAACUCUUGGACACAAGGCUCUAUCCUGUGUCUGAGACCCUUUGUCACCUCUUCUAGAGAACACAGAAUAAAAUGACUCAAUGCGCCCAGAGAACUAGACUCAGGCCUCAUUUGCAUGGGAUCUUGACUAAGACACAGAGCAGCUGGGCACUCAUGUACUACAUGGAACACAGAGUUUAUUCUUCGACUUGCUACAAAUACAUCUUUGCAGAUGUCAGCAAUGAACCAACACAAACUUAAACGGAAAUUCCCUUUGAAAGUUGAUAUUCAGAAGACAUUGGGCACGUUCAGGGUGGUAAGGUAGUAGACAAACACCACUAUUCUGAAAGCACUAAAAGAGACAAGGUUUCCAUAGUAUGUUUGGUAUUAUUUUACCAAUAAUUGAUCUCUUAUAAAGAAAGAAACAGCACAAAGGAUGGCUUUGCAGUCUCAUGGUGCAAGGAAGGAAAUAAGAAUGUGCCAGAUAAAGCUGCAGUGGCCUCUCUUAAGUCCUAAAGCAUCAACCCUUCGUUUCCUAGCAGGAAGCUAUAUUGGACAAGCAGGAUUAAGGAUAUAACACAUGAAGCUCCUUCCUUGGCUAUAACAAAUCCAGAUGGUUCAUAAUUGAAAAAUAAGAUUGAAUAAUGUUUUUUAUUUGUACUUUUAAUAAAUCUUGAGCAUGAAAUUAAAAAGAAAGAAACCAAGAACUACAGUUAGUGAGCUAAGAAAAAUGCUGACAAGUAGCAAGAUGAAAUAAUUUUAUCAGAUGAGUCAUAAGUUACAUAAAAGUGGAUACCAUUAUGCUAUCCACUAUGUACAAUUUUUUUCCUGAAAAAUAGCACAAAAAAACUAUGCUAAGAUAUACUAUAAGGCAACAACUUAUCCUGGAAAAACAGAUUUUUAAGGAAAUGGCUUGGUAUCAUUACAGAGCAGCUUUUGAAAUUGUAGAUCAUGAUUCCAUGAGCAGUUGUGUGAUGAAUGUGGAGGUCACAAAAAUUUGAGCAACAUCAGAAAUUUUCUGAACAGCCAACAAGCAAAAUCAAAUAAAUUAAAAAAUCCAAUGUGUAAUGAAUCCAUGGUGUCUCUGGCAAUGCCCACCUGUGAUGCAUUAUGCAACUUCACAGGAGCACUGUGGACUCUGCACACUUUCAUGCCACUCAGCCAGUGAACACUUCCUGAGACACCUCAGCACAGAUUUGUACAUUUUAUAGAAAUGGUUCAUGAAAAAGAUCUGUAUUACUUUCUUACUCUCAUUCUUCAGAAAGAAGUCUGAAGUCAGCACAUCUUUAGAUUGUACUGUUAGAAAGUUUAAGUUAUUGACUUGUCUUUUAUAAAAAAUUGUUACAUAAAUUUGGCAUGGGAUUAUGACAAACUUUCAAAUAACUUCUGAAAUGUUCUCAAAUCUAUUUUUGACAUUUAUUAAUACAGCUUUAUAGGACAUAGUAUUUUCAGUCCUGGCCAUUAUAAAAUCAGAAUACUAAUCACCCUGAAGACCACUGAAGAUGCUGUGUCCUAUAGUGUCAAAUAUCCAGCCUUAAGACUUACUUCCCUUUCUUGUUUUUUGUUUUUUAAGACAGGGAUUCUCUGUAUAACAGCUCUGGUUGUUCUAUAUAAAUUUUGUAGACCAGGCUGGCUUUGAACUCAGCAAUCCACCUGUCAUUGCUGAGCACUGGGAUUAAAGUCAUGUGCCACCAAGCCCAGUUUCAAGCUUUAAUUCUUCAUGUAAAAUAUAUCUCACAUCUGUCUCAGUAGUAUGCAAAUUUAAGCUUUAAUAUACAGGAAAAGUAUAUGUAUACCAAGAAAUCAUUUUAAAAUUAAUUUCUAUAUGAAUAUCAACUUCUAACUUGUGUACUUAUUUUAUAUUCCUAUAUAAUAGGGGCCAUAAAUACGUUCCUUGGGCAAGAAGAGAUCACAAAGUUUACAAAGUCAUGGUCUAGAAGAAUUGGUCAGUGAGAUCAUACAACAAUGAGCCAAUUCAUUUGCUCAGAUUACAUUAUGCUAUAACAGAGAAACCCUAAGAUCUCUUUCUUAGCAUUGCACCAUCUACUAGAGAUCCAGUUGGCUAUCUAUGUGAGAUUUCUUUAAAAAAAAAAUAAAAAGAAAUGGGUGACAUGAGUUCAAUGUUAUUUGAACUAAUAUGUCAAAAACAUUAUCAUUUCAAUUUGUAAUUCAUAUAAUUGCGAUAUAUUUUUGGUUGUCUUUGCAAUCCAAACCAAUGUGUAUUUUGCAUGUCAUCAGACUGGCCUAAUUUCAAGUGCUCAACAGCCAUAGGUGGCUGAUGUUACAGCACUGGAGCUUGAUGGCGAUCCCACCAUGCAUUCUCCAUUCUUGUUCUUGGUUCAGGGUGGAGUUCUAGAUGACUGUAAGCCACCAUGUGGGGAUAGGAAUCAAAUCCAAGUCCUCUACAAGAGCACCGACUACCAAGCCAUAGAUAUUUAAAGAGUAUCCCUGGUUCUGAGUCAGAGACCUGGCUCCUUUCAACUUGUGAAUUUUCAUAUCCUUAGGAGCUCAGAGACUUCCACUUCCAGUCAAUGAAUAGGAAAUGAGAGGGAGAAGAAAGACUAAAAUACCAUUCUUCUUUAAAUAUGUACCAGAAAAUACUUCUGAGGAAAUACCUUAAAGGAACAUGGAUCAUAGAAGGCAGAGCCCCCAACAGCUACUCUUGUUAUCAUUUGACCCUCAACUGGGAUCUGCUUUCAACAAGACUGUCCUACAAGCAUAACAGACUGUCCUGUGAGCAUUUCAGACUGUCCUGUGAGCAUGUUUUGGGGGAAUUUUCUUGAUUGUUAAUUGGUAUUGGAAGGCUCGGCCCACUCUGAGCCAUACAUCCCGAGGCAGGUGGGCCUGGGUGAUAAUUAUGAAGGUAGCAGAACGUGGUUCAGGAGUAAGCCUGUAUGUACCUUUCCUUCAUGCUUCAUGCUGAUGCUUCCACUUGAGUUCCUACCCUCACUCUUUCAAUGAUGGACUGUGAGAUGUAAGUGUGAAGGAAAAAACCAUCUCUGUCCCAAAUUUUCCUUUGGUCAUGGUGUGUAUGACACUAUUAAAAAAGCAAAUUACAAUGGUGUGCAAGGCUGUUUUCACCUUCCUCAGAUAGGAGAAACCCAAGUUAUCUUGAAGUUCCCAGUAACUUAAUCUUGACUUUCUCAGAUGCUGGGCCAUUGGAAAGGAGAGAAAGCUCCCUGGUUGAUGCAGCUCAGGUAUGGCAUCCUGUGUGCAGUCAGCAUUUUCACUAAGGAGGGCAUAUGGGGCCAUGGAAUGAUAACUGUGGAGUGUGUUGAAGUUUAGAUCUGAAACUUACUCACUUAGCAGGAUUGGUCUAUAGAAGUAAUGAACUGGCGAAAUAUUAUGGUAUAACAAAAAUAUCUUCACAGUUUCAUUUCCUAAAUACUGUUUCCAAGUGUAUGAGUUCUUUAUUUGGUAGUUUGGACACAGUUAUUAUAUAAGGCCCAAGAAGGUGCUGAGGUUGGUGGUUGGACUCUCUGGAAUGAUGGCUUAUAUUUAUGUGAAGGUCAAUGUUGUGUGUCUGCUGUGGGCUCUAGCUUCUUCUCAUGCAUCUUUCUUUCUCUUUUUCUGAGCUAACCUGGGAUAAGUCAUUUGAUGGUUGUCAAGAUGCCUGUGGGAGCUGAUCAGCUGGGACUCGUGUCACUUCUUAUGAUCUUGCUUCAGCAUACAUAUCUUUCAAGGCAACAACUCAGUCAUCCUAGUCCAGAAGGUGGGAAGAUACUUUAGAAGAGGUUUGACAACAAACUGGACUAUAGAGAUGGCCAUGACACCCAUUGGUACUAUCAUUUGUGCUGGUAACUGGACCAAGUUGUGCCCAUGGUCGGUUUCAGAAGAGCCUCCAAUUUCUACCCACCACUCAGGACCCACUUACUCCCAUGAAAGGAUGAAACACUUUUGGUGGAAAUUUCCUUUGUUCCUGGAAACAAAGCUAAGUGCACAUACUAAUGCAAGAAGUAAGAGGUCUACAGGGGUGAGUCAACAAGACAGUUAAAAUAUUUGAUCAAGAGUGAGAUGGCAAAUAUCACUGUGGUAAGGGAAAACACCCACUCAAACAGUGUACUACUAUUUCUGCAUGUCACUACCUACCUCCACAAGUGUGCUACUAUUUCUGCAUGAUGUCAUGGUGCUGACUGAACAUUGGAGAAUGAAGGUCUACAUCUUAGAUUUUAGAUUGUCUAAGAUAUAUGACCCAGGAGGGUUGAAGGUCAUAUAUCCUUCACAGAAUGGUACUAUUUUAGUAGAAAAACAAAAUGUUCAACAAUGUAGUAAAGCUAAAGUUCAAUUUAGUUUACCAAUGUUCUUUAAAUCACAGUCAUUAUAACGUAAGAUACUGCUAUCUGGAAGAACAGAAAUGGUGCUGUCUACUUAGACUAGACAGAGAUUGCAGGAGGGCAAGUGCACUGUGGGUCAAUACCCAGGAUAAAUUUGGGCCAAAAGGCUAGGGCAAGAACAGGGCUCAUUUCUGGGACUGGCAUGCCCAGUGACAUCCACAGCUGUGGGGUCACACCGCCAAGGUCUCCUGGGCAGGAGUGGGACCUUAGCAUCCCAGGCUCAUGAGCUAUCUACUGGGCUGAGCAACCUGAACUCUGACCUUUACCCCUGGACAAGUGUUCUAGACCCAGGUAUUGCCUAAGUUUGAGCUGCCUACGGACUGAGAUCGGCAGAUCAAAAUAGCACUCACAAACCCUCUAGACUGGUUCUGCUGCCACAGGAUUGACAUUCCGAAUGAAACAUUACACUGUGAGAUUAUUACAGAAAGGACACUAUGCAAUAAACUUGUGUAUUUACUAUUUUUAAUAAUUUAAAAAUAA